rnacentral:lncRNA from 1 species
CUUUUCCGCUGAAGCACCCAGUGGUAAUCAAAUCGCCGGAUUUCUAGGAACCUCCGGCAAUGCUCUCAACUCCCUAGACGUUCACUUUGCUCCCAUUCCUCCCGCUGGUAGCAUCGGACCAAAACCUGAUGAACCCGAAACCAAACCUCCCGGCCAAGAAGAUUCAAAAGGUGAUGGCUCCGGAAUCAAACCUCCCGGCCAAGAAGAUUCAAAAGGUGAUGGUUUCGAAACCAAACCUCCAGGCCAAGAGGAUUCAAAAGGUGAUGGCUCCGGAACCAAACCUCCUGGCAAAGAAGAUUCAAAAGGUGAUGGCUCCGGAACCAAACCUCCUGGCAAAGAGGAUUCAAAAGGUGAUGGCUCCGGACCAAACCUCCCGGCAAAGAAGAUUCAAAAGGUGAUGGCUCUGGAGCCAAACCUCCUGGCCAAGAAGAUUCAAAAGGUGAUGGCCCCGGAAAGACUGGGCUGAUCGGUGGUAACAGUGGAGACGCAUUUGAUGAUGGUCGUUUUGGUGGUGUGAAGAAAAUAACUGUUGGAGCAGAUGAAUACAGUGUGACUUACAUCAAGAUUGAGUACGUAAAGGACGGAAAAGUUCAAACCCUUGAACAC